GAUCUUUCACUCCAGUAUUUCUCCCUCUUCGACUUCUUCAUCGCUAGCUCUUUCUCUGCUGAUUUUGUAUAUCUAUAUCUGUAUCUGAAUAAUAAAUCGGGAGGAAUUGCAGGCUUUUCUCAUACGGAAAUUGUUCAGGGAUGGAAAAGAGGUUAAGAGACCCAGGAGAAAAUUAUGGGGGACUGUAGUAAGGCAUUGUAUGAAAUAAUUAUAGUUGGGGAUGUGUCAAAUAGCUUGAUGAUGUUAUGUAGAGUAUGUUCAAUAUACAUAAUUGCUUGUGUACCUGCUUUGGGAUUUCUCAGUGAAUGUGUGAAUUGGAGAAUAUCAGGUAGUUGAUAGGCAGUAUUUAAUUAGAGGUAAUUUUUUUUUUCAUUCAUUGUUUUUCUCUUUUUAGCUUUAAUAUCUUUUGUGAUUUCUGUGUUUGAUAUAGAUUUAACUUUUUAAUCCAUUCCAAUUAUAACAGUAGUCGAUUUAGAAUUUGAAAUUAUCAAGUUUCAUGUGAUUUGAAUGUUGAAUAAUUUUGAUAUUACGCUCAGAAAAUGCAGAAAAUUCAUAGUCGCCUCGAUUAACUAGAUACCAUGGCAUAGCAGUCGUUUAAUUUU